rnacentral:tRNA from 1 species
AGUGUUUAAGCACUUGGCUCUUAACCAAAAGGUUGGUGGUUCAAACCCACCAGCCACUC